GUGGGGAAUAUUGGACAAUGGGCGAAAGCCUGAUCCAACCAUGCCGCGUGUGUGAAGAAGGUCUUCGGAUUGUAAAGCACUUUAAGCGAGGAGGAGGCUACCGAGAUUAAUACUCUUGGAUAGUGGACGUUACUCGCAGAAUAAGCACCGGCUAACUCUGUGCCAGCAGCCGCGGUAAUACAGAGGGUGCAAGCGUUAAUCGGAUUUACUGGGCGUAAAGCGCGCGUAGGUGGCCAAUUAAGUCAAAUGUGAAAUCCCCGAGCUUAACUUGGGAAUUGCAUUCGAUACUGGUUGGCUAGAGUAUGGGAGAGGAUGGUAGAAUUCCAGGUGUAGCGGUGAAAUGCGUAGAGAUCUGGAGGAAUACCGAUGGCGAAGGCAGCCAUCUGGCCUAAUACUGACACUGAGGUGCGAAAGCAUGGGGAGCAAACAGGAUUAGAAACCCGGGUAGUCC
rnacentral:rRNA from 1 species